rnacentral:rRNA from 1 species
UGAGGAAUAUUGGUCAAUGGACGCAAGUCUGAACCAGCCAAGUAGCGUGCAGGAUGACGGCCCUAUGGGUUGUAAACUGCUUUUAUAUGGGGAUAAAGUGGGGAACGUGUUCCCUUUUGCAGGUACCAUAUGAAUAAGGACCGGCUAAUUCCGUGCCAGCAGCCGCGGUAAUACGGAAGGUUCGGGCGUUAUCCGGAGUUAUUGGGUUUAAAGGGAGCGUAGGCCGUUUGGUAAGCGUGUUGUGAAAUGUAGGAGCUCAACUUCUAGAUUGCAGCGCGAACUGUCAGACUUGAGUGCGCACAACGUAGGCGGAAUUCAUGGUGUAGCGGUGAAAUGCUUAGAUAUCAUGAAGAACUCCGAUUGCGAAGGCAGCUUACGGGAGCGCAACUGACGCUGAAGCUCGAAGGUGCGGGUAUCGAACAGG